rnacentral:lncRNA from 1 species
CCACUUGCUAUAUUAUUUCAGGAAACGAGUGCUCUGAUAAAAAAAGAGAUACGAGGAAAUAAAAAGGGGCAAGUGCCCGGAACCUCGAAGAAAAGAAAAAGUGAGACGAGAGGUAAAAAUGUACAAGUGUCCGACAGUAGAAUUAGGGGUACAAGAUACCCACCUGAGAGAAAAGAAAAAUAAAAUAUAGAGCAUCUCAUUCUCCUCAAAAAGUUUCAAAAGAGCAAGGAAGGUAUGUAUCCCCUUAAAAGAGCAUAAGUAGAAUUAGACUUUCACCAUUGUUAUCACCAUCAUCACCAUACACCAUUCAUUCGCCACACAUGCACAUCUUGAUUUGACUUAUUGACUUGUUCUUCUGGAUCCAUGGUUUGACUAUACAAUAAAUGUCUUGUAAGUAUGUAUUAGCUGUCUCCCACCUAUGAGCUCCAGAUAUCAAAACCUUAUUAGAGUAGGGUAUGAGAGAAGGCAAUGCCACUAUGCCUUAUACCACAAAUACCACAUACUUUGAGAGAAGGCAUAUACCAUCACUGCCUUGGUAAGGAUCUAGAAAUACCACAAAAGAGAGACUAGAGAGAGUCAUACAAGGAAUCUCUGAGUUUUAUUUGAAAAUCUGCAAAAACUCCAGAGCUAUAGUUAAUCGAAGAACAAGAGACAUGGCGCUUGACUAGACCGUUCUAUCUUUUAACUACUCAAGACACAAGUGAUGGUUGCAAGCCCCA